rnacentral:rRNA from 1 species
UACGGAGGGAGCUAGCGUUGUUCGGAAUUACUGGGCGUAAAGCGCGCGUAGGCGGCUAUUCAAGUCAGAGGUGAAAGCCCGGGGCUCAACCCCGGAACUGCCUUUGAAACUAGGUAGCUAGAAUCUUGGAGAGGUCAGUGGAAUUCCGAGUGUAGAGGUGAAAUUCGUAGAUAUUCGGAAGAACACCAGUGGCGAAGGCGACUGACUGGACAAGUAUUGACGCUGAGGUGCGAAAGCGUGGGGAGCAAACAGGG